GUGGGGAAUAUUGCACAAUGGGCGAAAGCCUGAUGCAGCAAAGCCGCGUGAGGGACGACGGCCUUCGGGUUGUAAACCUCUUUUAGUAGGGAAGAAGCGAAAGUGACGGUACCUGCAGAAAAAGCACCGGCUAACUACGUGCCAGCAGCCGCGGUAAUACGUAGGGUGCAAGCGUUAUCCGGAAUUAUUGGGCGUAAAGAGCUCGUAGGCGGUCUGUCGCGUCUGCUGUGAAAACUGGAGGCUCAACCUCCAGCCUGCAGUGGGUACGGGCAGACUAGAGUGCGGUAGGGGAGAUUGGAAUUCCUGGUGUAGCGGUGGAAUGCGCAGAUAUCAGGAGGAACACCGAUGGCGAAGGCAGAUCUCUGGGCCGUAACUGACGCUGAGGAGCGAAAGCGUGGGGAGCGAACAGGAUUAGAUACCCGUGUAGUCC
rnacentral:rRNA from 1 species